UCACGCACUGGAUCUUUGGAGAGGUCUCCAUUGUUUCCAGAUGGGCAGUGAGCGGUCAUCCCCACCCAGGGCCUGAUCCGAAUCCUUUUGGAGGUGCGGUUCUGCUGGGCUUCGCAAGUGGACUGAUGCUAUCGGGCUCAUCAUGGCUUUGUGACACUGGGUUAGCCUGGUGGAUGACAGGAGCAACUUCAGCCAUGGGUCUCCUUUAUCUGCGCACUUGGGCAGCCGCUGUUUCUGGAUGCGCACUGGCAGUCUUCACAGGGUCCAUGUGGCCUCAAGUACUUGGACAUCUUAUGAACUCAGGGACAAACCCUGGAGGAGCCAUGACCACUGGCAUGAGCCUUUAUGUUCUACAAGUGUUUUUCUGUGCCUGGUGCACAGCUUUUAAGUUUGUUCCUGGAGGUGUCUACGCUAGAGAAAGGUCUGAUGUGCUUUUGGGGAUCAUAAUGGUAAUUAUUGGAUUGAGCAUGCUGUUUAGACCUAAGAAAAACCUUGACUUUCUUCUUCAAACAAAAAACAGCUCUAAAAUGCUUUUAAGAAGCACUGAAAAAUACAUGAAACUUAUUUUGUGGCUGCUUGUUGGUGUGGGGUUACUGGGAUUAGGACUGCGGCACAGAACCUAUGAGAGAAAAUUAGGCCACGGGG
rnacentral:lncRNA from 1 species